GACGAACGCUGGCGGCGUGCUUAACACAUGCAAGUCGAACGGAAGGGCCCUGCUUUUGUGGGGUGCUCGAGUGGCGAACGGGUGAGUAACACGUGAGUAACCUGCCCUUGACUUUGGGAUAACUUCAGGGAACUGGGGCUAAUACCGGAUAGGAGCUCCUGCUGCAUGGUGGGGGUUGGAAAGUUUCGGCGGUUGGGGAUGGACUCGCGGCUUAUCAGCUUGUUGGUGGGGUAGUGGCUUACCAAGGCUUUGACGGGUAGCCGGCCUGAGAGGGUGACCGGCCACAUUGGGACUGAGAUACGGCCCAGACUCCUACGGGAGGCAGCAGUGGGGAAUAUUGCACAAUGGGCGGAAGCCUGAUGCAGCAACGCCGCGUGCGGGAUGACGGCCUUCGGGUUGUAAACCGCUUUCGCCUGUGACGAAGCGUGAGUGACGGUAAUGGGUAAAGAAGCACCGGCUAACUACGUG
rnacentral:rRNA from 1 species